AACGAACGCUGGCGGCAGGCCUAACACAUGCAAGUCGAACGCCCUAGCAAUAGGGAGUGGCAGACGGGUGAGUAACACGUGGGAACGUAACCUUCGGUCUGGAAUAACCCAGGGAAACUUGGGCUAAUACCGGAUACGUGCGAGAGCAGAAAGAUUUAUCGCCGAAGGAUCGGCCCRCGUCCGAUUAGCUAGUUGGUGAGGUAAAAGCUCACCAAGGCGACGAUCGGUAGCUGGUCUGAGAGGAUGAUCAGCCACACUGGGACUGAGACACGGCCCAGACUCCWMRGGGAGGCAGCAGUGGGGAAUAUUGGACAAUGGGCGAAAGCCUGAUCCAGCCAUGCCNCGUGAGUGAUGAAGGCCCUAGGGUUGUAAAGCUCUUUCGCCAGGGACGAUAAUGRCGGUMCCUGGNUWWGRNGCCCCGGCUAMCUUCGUGC
rnacentral:rRNA from 1 species